UCAAACUUGGUCAUUUAGAGGAAGUAAAAGUCGUAACAAGGUUUCCGUAGGUGAACCUGCGGAAGGAUCAUUAUCGAGUUUGAAACCGGGGACUGUGCUGGCCCCUCGGGGCAUGUGCACGUCUCCUUCACUUCCACACACCUCGUGCACCUCUUGGGUCGGUCCUCCGGGGCCGCCCAACUUUUUAUCACACACGCCCUUUUGUGUAUUCGUAUGUCUUGCUUUAAAUAGUAACAACUUUCAACAACGGAUCUCUUGGCUCUCGCAUCGAUGAAGAACGCAGC
rnacentral:misc_RNA from 1 species